rnacentral:rRNA from 1 species
UACGUAGGGUGCGAGCGUUAAUCGGAAUUACUGGGCGUAAAGCGUGCGCAGGCGGUUCGCCAAGUCAGGUGUGAAAUCCCCGGGCUUAACCUGGGAAUUGCGCUUGAAACUAGCGGGCUUGAGUGCGGCAGAGGGGGGUGGAAUUCCACGUGUAGCAGUGAAAUGCGUAGAGAUGUGGAGGAACACCGAUGGCGAAGGCAGCCCCCUGGGUCGACACUGACGCUCAUGCACGAAAGCGUGGGGAGCGAACAGG